rnacentral:rRNA from 1 species
UGGGGGAUAUUGCACAAUGGGGGAAACCCUGAUGCAGCGACGCCGCGUGAGUGAAGAAGUAUUUCGGUAUGUAAAGCUCUAUCAGCAGGGAAGAAAAUGACGGUACCUGACUAAGAAGCCCCGGCUAACUACGUGCCAGCAGCCGCGGUAAUACGUAGGGGGCAAGCGUUAUCCGGAUUUACUGGGUGUAAAGGGAGCGUAGACGGCGGUGCAAGUCUGAAGUGAAAUACCCGGGCUCAACCUGGGAACUGCUUUGGAAACUGUACGGCUAGAGUGCUGGAGAGGUAAGCGGAAUUCCUAGUGUAGCGGUGAAAUGCGUAGAUAUUAGGAGGAACACCAGUGGCGAAGGCGGCUUACUGGACAGUAACUGACGUUGAGGCUCGAAAGCGUGGGGAGCAAACAGGAUUAGAUACCCUGGUAGU